GACGAACGCUGGCGGCGUGCUUAACACAUGCAAGUCGAACGGAAAGGCCCUGCUUUUGUGGGGUGCUCGAGUGGCGAACGGGUGAGUAACACGUGAGUAACCUGCCCUUGACUUUGGGAUAACUUCAGGAAACUGGGGCUAAUACCGGAUAGGAGCUCCUGCUGCAUGUUGGGGGUUGGAAAGUUUCGGCGGUUGGGGAUGGACUGGCGGCUUAUCAGCUUGUUGGUGGGGUAGUGGCUUACCAAGGCUUUGACGGGUAGCCGGCCUGGGAGGGUGACCGGCCACAUUGGGACUGCGGGACGGCCCAGACGCCUACGGGAGGCAGCAGUGGGGAAUAUGGCACAAUGGGCGGAAGCCUGAUGCAGCAACGCCGCGUGCGGGAUGACGGCCUUCGGGUUGUAAACCGCUUUCGCCGGUGACGAAGCGUGAGUGACGGUAAUGGGUAAAGAAGCACCGGCUAACUACGUG
rnacentral:rRNA from 1 species